CACGUAGUUAGCCGGUCCUUAUUCCCCACCUACCGUCAACCCCACGAGAACGUGGAGCCUGCGUUGGUGGUAAAAGAGGUUUACAACCCGAAGGCCGUCAUCCCCCACGCGGCGUCGCUGCAUCAGGCUUUCGCCCAUUGUGCAAUAUUCCCCACUGCUGCCUCCCGCAGGAGUCUGGGCCGUGUCUCAGUCCCAGUGUGGCCGGUCGCCCUCUCAGGCCGGCUACCCGUAAUCGCCUUGGUAGGCCGUUACCCCACCAACAAGCUGAUAGGCCGCGAGCCCAUCCCUGACCGAUAAAACUUUCCACCCUCCACCAUGAGGUGGUGGGUCGUAUCCGGUAUUAGACGGCGUUUCCACCGCUUAUCCCAGAGUCAGGGGCAGGUUGCUCACGUGUUACUCACCCGUUCGCCGCUCGUGUACCCCGAAGGGCCUUACCGCUCGACUUGCAUGUGUUAAGCACGCCGCCAGCGUUCGUCCUGAGCCAGGAUCAAACUCU
rnacentral:rRNA from 1 species